GGUGUCUUCAUGCUUAAUUCAUCACAGUCACUUGGCAAGAUUUCUGCAGACCCCCAAUCUAAACUGGGUCAACAGAACCCAAAACCAAACUCCAGAAACGUGUCAUUGCAAGCUUUUUAAAAUCUGAUCCGUAUGUUUAAUCCCUACAGAGGACAAUGUAAGCAAAAGAGAAAAUGACCCAUUCCUGAGUGAUAAACAGCCUCAGCCUUCCGGUGAACAGCAGAGCAGCCCUGAUGAAAAUGGCGAUAUUCCUCAUGUCCAGGCACCAGGACCAGGGGUCACACAUGGAGAUUAGAUAAAGGGGCAUUCAGAACAGAAAAUAGGAGGCACUUUUUUACACAGAGAAUUGUGAGGGUCUGGAACCAACUCCCCAGUAAUGUUGUUGAAGCUGACACCCUGGGAUCCUUCAAGAAGCUGCUUGAUGAGAUUCUGGGAUCAAUAAGCUACUAACAACCAAACGAGCAAGAUGGGCCGAAUGGGGCCUCCUCUCGUUUGGAAACUUUCUUAUGUUCUUAUGUUCUUGUCCCUCGCCAUAUAUCAAAAUAGAUCCAAAUAAAAUCAGGGAAAGUUUAGUAUUAUGAUUACGAGUGAAAAAUUUUGAUUCGAUUUUGAUUGACACCAGCACACUCGUAACUUUUAUUUGAAGACAACCUGCCUAUUAAAGAUCAUGGAUGUUUUUCAAAAUAAGCCAUUUGAUAUAAAAUUAUGCAUUUAACCUGUAAUUAUUUUUUAUAGACGCUGUUGUAAAUUAUUGUAAGAGUUUUACGGCUAAGAUUGAAUACUGUGUUUUUGAAGAUGUAUUUUGUAUUUUUUCAUCUUUUAAAUUCUGUAUAUGGGAGAUCUCUCUCAGGUACUGUAUACUGUAUGAAAAGAGACAAGGUUUUAUAAAAUUGAGAGAUUGAACACAUGGGCCUCUUAAAAAGACAUUGAAAACCAUCAUACUUUUGUAGGAUUAUAUUAUUUUGAUUAAUAAUUUAGAUUUAGUAGUACUUUCCUACAUUUCAAGGACAUCUCUAGGUAGGUGUGCUGGUCCAGCGGUUAAAGAAAAGGGUCUCGAUACCAAGAGGUUCAAAAUCACCCGGCUGAGCCACUGACUCACUGUGUGUGUGUGACCCUGAGCAAGUCACUGAACCUCCUUGUGCUCCGUCCUUCAGACGAGACGUCAAACAAACGAACUCCUAUUGGAAGUGACUCUGCAGCAGCCACUGACUCCCUGUGUGUGUGUGACCCUGAGCAAGUCACUGAACCUCCUUGUGCUCCGUCCUUCAGGAUGAGACGUCAAACAAACGAGCUCCUAUUGGAAGUGACUCUGCAGCAGCCACUGACUCCCUGUGUGUGUGUGUGUGACCCUGAGCAAGUCACUGAACCUCCUUGUGCUCCGUCCUUCAGAUGAGACGUCAACAAACGUGCUCCUAUUGGAAGUGACUCUGCAGCAGCAGCAGCAGCAGUUAUUGAUGAUGCAGAGUUCACCCCCCUAGUCUCUGGAAGUCGCUUUGGAUAAAAACAGUUGUAAUAAUAGUAAUAUUUGUAGAAUUUUUUUUUUUUUUUUAAACUCUAUGUAUUACAAAAUAAAGUUUGAAU